GGGGAAUGAUUUACCCAACAAUGAAUGAGAUAGCUGAUUAUUCAUUAUGACAAUGAUGAAUGAUAUGCAAAUCCUAUAAUAUUUGAAUUAUUCUCGAAUAUGAUGGAGAAAUAUGAAAUAUUAUGAGCAAGAAUCUUGAUUAAAAGGUAAAGUUUGUAUUUUUGCUAGAGAGAGAAUUUUCUUCUCAAAAAGUAUUCGUAUCUAUAAAUAUUACAUGUCUUAUACUAUUGUCUCUUUUUCUAUUUAUAUGAAUCGUAUCCCUAGCAAACCUUAAUAGUACAAGUAUAAAGAAUAUUCAGUAGAAUAUUCUCUUUACUAUCCUAUUACAAAAACUAGCCGUUAUUGUUCUGUCCUUGGUGCUCGACCUCGAUCCUUGUUGAUAGCCCUACUACGAAUUUAACUACUUCCUGAUCGUCCUCGACCGAUCCUUUCCUUAAUGCCACUUUACGCUAAACUUUCUUAGGGCUAUAUAGUCCAUCCGCUUAUUGAGGCCGACCCCGGACGGCCUUGAUGAGUGGACCUUGUUUGUUGAGGUUGGGAAGUUUGGACAAACAAGUUGAGUAGUGAUGUUUCAGACGAAGUGACAACCGUGAGCCGCAACCUUUGGGGUCACAUCAGUUCAGAGUGACGUCAUGACAUCAUGCGUUAUUAUUACGCAUUUUCUCGAUGCCUCGCAUCAUUUUCCAUAUUUCUACCAUUUCGAUACCUGCGCUAUGUAAUGACGGUUUGAUUUCUUGUAAAAGGAGAUCGGUGGACGUCAACGAUUAGACCGUCCGAGCCAUGGAUUCAAUAAGGGGUGAUCAUGAGCCAGCGACCGUCAUACUUGAAGAUGACUGAUUUUUCGUUUGAAGUCCCAUCAUCAACGAAGGCCGUAGAAAGCGAGCAUAAGCUGGAACUGGGGUCCAUCGGUGGAAGUUUCAAGUGUUGUGCUACAAGAUGAGCCAUCAUUCUCACGACCGGCUGACAUUCCUUCUUUGUCUGUCAAUGAGAGAGAUAAGGGUGUUACCGAGGAUGGCUACGAAACGGGUGUCGCACUCCCUUUUUCCCAUACCUUUUUACGAGGAAGAAGGUCCGGAUAUCGAUAUUUAUGGGGGUAGUAACUCAUUUCCUUUUGGGAAUUGGGUAUUUUGAAGAGUCACCACCUAAUGGAUUAUGGUGCGUUAAGACACCUAGAGCGAUUAACUCUUUGAUUGAUUUGCAUUACCAGAGAUUUAGGAUAAGGGAUCAAAAUAACCUUGAGGAAAAGGUGUUAGGCCCUCCUCUUAGUCCACAACGGUAGGUCCCGACCGAACUUAUACUUAUGAAAUAGUCCAUUAUCAAAUAAAUAGUUGAAACAAAUAAUUUCAAAUAAAGCAUGGUAGACAUUGUAUGACUCAAAUAAUUAGACAGAGAAUUUGCACAAGUUGUGUACAUAAAAAGUAAAGUUUUCAGCAAAAGGAAUUUGGGAAAGGAGGGGUCCUAGGUUGGUUAGACUACAGGAUCACCCUAUGAAAUGCUCGGUAAACACUCCUUAAUGAGGGGCUACAUGUGACAUUAGCGCGUAUUUAUCAUAUCAUAUUCUACCCAAGUCCCUCCCUUUGGUAAUAGCCUAAAGCGUUCUAGUAACCUUGACGAUGUCCUAUGCCUGCACUACCCGUCCCUUACUCGUGGCCCUAGAAGUAUUUAGGACCUCUAAAUCUGGGCAGUUCUAGACAACCCCAAAGGUUUAAAGGAUAAAAUACUAAGGCGAAAAGCAAAAACACAUAGGACUUUAGCAAAUAAAAGCAGGAAAGAGCAAAUAAGAGGCUUAGGUUUACCUCCCGCAGAUAAUGCAUGUAAACAGCACGACUCAAACACAAAUAAGGGCAGCAUUAUUAAACAGGAUCCUAAGACAUGAGAUCUAGGUGAGUAUCAGAACACAAGAGAUAUACAAAUUUAUUUAUUUUUAAACUUAGAAGCAUGGGCCUAAUCAAUUUGCCUGGUGAUAAUAAGCAUGUUAACCAUUAAGCAGUAAACACAAAGAGGUAGUUUCCAAUUUUGUGAAAAAUUGGAUUACCUAAGGCUUGUCUAGGCGUGGGAUAAUGCACAAUUAUUACUAGAACUAUUAAAAUAUGGUAGGAGCUAUUUUACUUAAAGCAUGUUGUUAUGAGUUUUACAAGAUACAAAAUUAUUACCAAUUUUACUUAAACAGGAUAAUAAGACGUGAGACUGUUCUGUAUCCUUUUUCAUGCAUCAGUAGUUUAACUAGGUGUGACUGAGCAAGUAUGAACGAGAUCCUAAACAUGGUAUCUAAUAUGCACAUAUAAGGUUUAGAAUAGUUUAUAUGAAGAAUUCCGAAAGCAGGAUUUCUAAAUGCACAGUAGGUUACACCAUGAUUUAAUAUGCAUAACUAACAGUUUAUUUUAAUGUUUUUGUUUAUCCUGGAAACAUGAUUUCUAAGUGAUAAUAAGGAUAUCAAAAUGAGAUGCUGAAAAUGAUAUACAUGAAACCUAAGAGCAUAGUAUCUAAUGCAUGAUAUGAUUUGCAUGUAUAGGUCCCAAACAUGAAUUCUAAUGCACAUAUAGAAAAAUAUAAACCUAAAGCAUGUUUUCUACUCUUUGAUAACAUGCAUAGAUACCCUCCCCUUUUUCACUAGCCAACCCUAAUAUUCAUCUACAAUGAAUAGUACAAACUAACAUUGAAUGAAUUAUAUUAAUACAUAAAGAAAAAUAAGAAGUUACACUAUAGGGAGCCUGCAAGUAGGCCCGGAUUUCUAAAAUCUCAAAUGCUCAGAUUGUUUCAUAGUUCUCAAUAUUUGGGUGUGUCAGAGUUCCCUAAGGACCUCAAGGGGUACUGGGCAGUGCUCACACCCAGAUUUCACAACCAUAUUUGAGUAAGUGCAGUGUGAAAUGGUCAUCUCUAAUGCAUCAGAGUUCAGAUGGAUCUCAUAGGGAUCCUUAAGCAGUCACACAUUAGAGGGGCAAAAUUUAAGGAUCUAAGACUAGAGUGAGAGUACUUGACAUAGUUUUAAAAAAGGUUUAGGUAGUAAAACAAUUUAACAAGAAACUUGAAAGUAGUUUUGUAAAAGUACAAAGGAGUUAUUUAAUAAGACAAUUUUGAAAAGAGUAGGGAAAUAAACAAAAUACAGACCAACCUCAGAAGCAAAACAAGUUCAGCAUCACAUAUAGAGCAAAGAACCAAGAAAGGUUUAGCACCACAAGCCUUCAUACAAGGGUAAAUGGGAAUGGGAUCGGUAAAGCACAUUAUGGUAAACACAUAACAUGCAGAAGUCUUUGGAAUUGGUACGGAUAUGCUCAGAAACACUGCUUAGACAUAGUCACAGAAUUAGCAAUGCUUAAGGGGUUCAGUAUAGGAUCAACAUAAUUUAAAAUCAAUCCCAAAAUCAUACAAGUUUAGGAGUGCAGACUACUUUAAAAGGAGAUUCAUACCAUGAACCAGAUAGAGCAAGAUCACAUGGAGCAGAUUACAUAGAGAGGGGGAGUAACAUGUUCAUACUGAUCCUAAGGAAGGGGAGUACAUAACAUGCUAAUAAUAUAAAUAUAUCAACUACAGGUUUCACGGCAAGACCAUAAGUAAAAGCAUACUAGAAACAUGAUGAAGUAAAGUAAUAAAAGGACCAUAUUAUUUUUUGGAACUUGAAUUGAAAUCAGAACAUACCAGUAAAGAAGGUAGUAAACACAAAGUGAGGAGCAAGAGAGUAGAGUAAUCAGCCUUGGCUUGCAGCGGAUUGACUUAGAACAAUAGCAAGAAACUAGAUAAAAGAGAGCAUAAGAGUGUUUUUGUGUGUGAGAGAGUAUCUAAACCAUUGUGUUCGUGCCCCUGUGCUAAUGAAAGAGCAAAGUACUUGUAGUUUGAAAACAGUUAGAAAAUAAGGCAAGAAUCAUAGUUAAAUAGUAAUUAUGGAACUACGUACUAAUUAGAAUCAAAUCAGUAUAAGUACUUACGUUAAUUAAGGAGCUAAACUUAAACGGUAACAGGCAAAUACUAAAUAAGGAAGGAAAUCACAUAAGGCUGAAUAUAACAAAUUAGGAAAUAUUUUCAGCAUAGUACUAGUACACAACAUGUAAUAGAGACUAGGUUCAGCAGAUUCUAAUCAAGGAAAAUACUUAAGAAUCAGUUAACAACAUGGUUGGCCAUAGAUUAGGGUAAGAAAAUAUCUUAAAGGUUAAAAUCAGUAGAUAAUAUCACAAGAAAUCAGUAAAGGAUUAAUCAUAGAGAUUCAAAAAUAGCAAAUAGUACUGAUUUAGGAGAAAUUGACACAAAUAUAUAAGACUAGCGGAAUAAACACAUAAUAGGCAAGAAUCAGAAACCCUAAUAAGACAAAUAGGGUAAAAUCACACAAAAUUAGUUAUUCAUAUAGAGCAUAAGAUGAAUUAAUCGAAUAAAUAUGACAUAGGCGGAAGAAGUAAAAGUCAGAGACACUGAUGAACAACAUAGGGUAAAACCACAGAGAAUCAUAAGGCUCAUGAGAAACAAGCAUAUAUAGAGAUUAAGGGAACAUAUUAUCACAAAACAGACACAGAAUCCAGGAUUAAAACCAAGAAACUUAGGGUUUUCAACAUAAUAACUCAGAUAAAAAGAGAAAACUCAAAUAAACAUUUAAACAUAGUGAAAAUUAUAGAUUAAUACUAAAAUCAUAAGGAAAACCCAUUUUGAAAUGGGGUUAAGAAAUCCUGGUUUUAAGAUGAAGAGUCGUUUAAGAAAAUUCAGAAAAGUUUUAAGGAAAACAACAAAUAACUUGGAAUAUACCCAGAUAUAUUACAGAUCUAAGAAAUCAAGAGCUAAUAGUUAGGGUUUCAGAGAGAUAACCUAAAGAGAAAGAGAAUCGUCCUAGAAACCACAGGUUAUAGCCUGAGAUGGCAGGAUCUUAUUCGGACAUGCCAAGAUUGGCCCGAGAAUGACAUGAAAAAUCAUAGGGGUGAGUUGAACCGCCUCUGGUUCCUUUGAAGGCCUUAAGGCAGCAGUAACCCGGUGUGGAAAGGAGCCAUGGGGGUUGGGAUGGUAGUGAGACCACCACAGUUACCGGCAAGUCGACGACCGGUGAGAGCUUUAGGUUUUAAGAGAGAGAAUUUGCGAGGUGAAGAGAGAAUGUAAUG
rnacentral:lncRNA from 1 species